rnacentral:rRNA from 1 species
UACGUAGGGUGCAAGCGUUGUCCGGAAUUAUUGGGCGUAAAGAGCUCGUAGGCGGCUUGUCGCGUCGGCUGUGAAAACCUGGGGCUCAACUCCGGGCCUGCAGCCGAUACGGGCAAACUAGAAUUCGGUAGGGGAGACUGGAAUUCCUGGUGUAGCGGUGAAAUGCGUAGAGAUCGGAAAGAACACCAACGGCGAAAGCACUCUGCUGGGCCGACACUGACACUGAGAGACGAAAGCUAGGGGAGCGAAUGGG